rnacentral:misc_RNA from 1 species
UCAAACUUGGUCAUUUAGAGGAAGUAAAAGUCGUAACAAGGUUUCCGUAGGUGAACCUGCGGAAGGAUCAUUAUGAAUUUGAUCAAGUUCCUCUCUCUCUCUUUCCGAGGGAGAGAGAGAGCUUUUCAUUUUCUGUGAACUGUUGAGGGGGGAGAUGGCUUGAGCAAUCGAGUCGUCGUCUCUUCUCUUUUUGUUAUCUUGUCUUCUAUUCCAAUUCUUAUUUGGUUGGUGAUAUUUUUCAUCAUCAGCUGAAUAAUACAAACCAAGACAACUUUCAGCAAUGGAUCUCUUGGCUCUUGCAUCGAUGAAGAACGCAGC